rnacentral:rRNA from 1 species
UACGUAGGGUGCAAGCGUUAAUCGGAAUUACUGGGCGUAAAGCGUGCGCAGGCGGUUUUGUAAGUCUGUCGUGAAAUCCCCCGGGCUCAACCUGGGAAUUGCGUUGGAGACUGCAAGGCUAGAAUCUGGCAGAGGGGGGUAGAAUUCCACGUGUAGCAGUGAAAUGCGUAGAGAUGUGGAGGAACACCGAUGGCGAAGGCAGCCCCCUGGGUUAAGAUUGACGCUCAUGCAC